GACGAACGCUGGCGGCGUGCUUAACACAUGCAAGUCGAACGGAAAGGCCCUGCUUUUGUGGGGUGCUCGAGUGGCGAACGGGUGAGUAACACGUGAGUAACCUGCCCUUGACUUUGGGAUAACUUCAGGCAACUGGGGCUAAUACCGGAUAGGAGCUCCUGCUGCAUGGUGGGGGUUGGAAAGUUUCGGCGGUUGGGGAUGGACUCGCGGCUUAUCAGCUUGUUGGUGGGGUAGUGGCUUACCAAGGCUUUGACGGGUAGCCGGCCUGAGAGGGUGACCGGCCACAUUGGGACUGAGAUACGGCCCAGACGCCUACGGGAGGCAGCAGUGGGGAAUAUUGCACAAUGGGCGGAAGCCUGAUGCAGCAACGCCGCGUGCGGGAUGACGGCCUUCGGGUUGUAAACCGCUUUCGCCUGUGACGAAGCGUGAGUGACGGUAAUGGGUAAAGAAGCACCGGCUAACUACGUG
rnacentral:rRNA from 1 species